AGCUUUGUGCAGUGGCAGUAUCACAGCCAUGAGGUUUAUCCAAGGCAUGAUUAUUGCUAAUUGAAAAUGUUGUCAAAUGUUUGGUUUGCCUCCCCUCCACAAAACCACUUUGAUCCAUAGCUGUCAAU